GCCGUAGGGCGCGAGCGUUGUCCGGAUUUAUUGGGCGUAAAGAGCUCGUAGGCGGCUUGUUGCGUCGACUGUGAAAACCCGCGGCUCAACCGCGUGGCUUGCAGUCGAUACGGGCAGGCUAGAAUUCGGUAGGGGAGACUGGAAUUCCUGGUGUAGCGGUGAAAUGCGCAGAUAUCAGGAGGAACACCGGUGGCGAAGGCGGGUCUCUGGGCCGAUAUUGACGCUGAGGAGCGAAAGCGUGGGGAGCGAACAGG
rnacentral:rRNA from 1 species